rnacentral:rRNA from 1 species
UACGUAGGGUGCGAGCGUUAAUCGGAAUUACUGGGCGUAAAGCGUGCGCAGGCGGCUUUGCAAGACAGAUGUGAAAUCCCCGGGCUUAACCUGGGAACUGCAUUUGUGACUGCAUGGCUGGAGUGCGGCAGAGGGGGAUGGAAUUCCGCGUGUAGCAGUGAAAUGCGUAGAUAUGCGGAGGAACACCGAUGGCGAAGGCAAUCCCCUGGGCCUGUACUGACGCUCAUGCACGAAAGCGUGGGGAGCAAACAGG